UACAGGGGGUGCAAACGUUGCUCGGAAUCAUUGGGCGUAAAGCGCACGUAGGCGGUCUGUUAUGUCGGAUGUGAAAGCCCUUGGCUCAACUGAGGAAGUGCAUCCGAAACUGGCAGGCUAGAGUACUAAAGAGGAUCGCGGAAUUCCCGGUGUAGAGGUGAAAUUCGUAGAUAUCGGGAGGAACACCGGUGGCGAAGGCGGCGAUCUGGGUAGAUACUGACGCUGAGGCGCGAAAGCUAGGGGAGCAAACGGG
rnacentral:rRNA from 1 species